CCUACGGGCGGCUGCAGUGGGGAAUAUUGGACAAUGGGGGGAACCCUGAUCCAGCCAUGCCGCGUGUGUGAAGACGGCCCUCGGGUUGUAAAGCACUUUCAGUGAGGAAGAACGCCUGGUGGUUAAUACCCAUCAGGAAAGACAUCACUCACAGAAGAAGCACCGGCUAACUCCGUGCCAGCAGCCGCGGUAAUACGGAGGGUGCGAGCGUUAAUCGGAAUUACUGGGCGUAAAGCGCGCGUAGGUGGCUUGAUAAGCCGGUUGUGAAAGCCCCGGGCUCAACCUGGGAACGGCAUCCGGAACUGUCAAGCUAGAGUGCAGGAGAGGAAGGUAGAAUUCCCGGUGUAGCGGUGAAAUGCGUAGAGAUCGGGAGGAAUACCAGUGGCGAAGGCGGCCUUCUGGACUGACACUGACACUGAGGUGCGAAAGCGUGGGUAGCAAACAGGAUUAGAUACCCGUGUAGUC
rnacentral:rRNA from 1 species